rnacentral:lncRNA from 1 species
UCUCCAUGGAGGACCAAGGAUCCAUUUUGGGAUUUUUUUGACCCAAAAUUCUUCCUCAUUUUCAUCAUCAUCAUCAUUUUCAUCUUCAUCAUCUUCAUAAUCUUCAUCAUCUUCAUCUCCUCCAUCAUCUUCCUCUUCCUCCUCCUCCUCCUCAGCCCCUCCCUUUAAUCUUCAUCCCCUCCUCCUCCUCCAUCAUCAUCAUCAUCAGCGGGGCCUUCAUCGCCUCCACCACCACCAUCAUCAUCAUCAUCAUUGCCUCCAUCUUCAGCAUCGGGGCCUUCAUCACCUCCACCAUCAUCAUCAUCAUCAUCACCACCUCCAUCUUCACCAUUGGGGGCCUUCAUCGCCUCCACCACCACCAUCAUCAUCUUCACCUCCAUCUUCAUCACCUCCACCAUCAUCAUCCUCGGGGCCUUCAUCACCAUUUCCGGCCUCUCCCUCCUCCUCCUCCUCCUCAGCCCCUCCCUUCAAUCUUCAUCCCCUCCUCCUCCUCCAUCAUCAUCAUCAGCGGGGCCUUCAUCGCCUCCGCCACCACCACCAUCA